rnacentral:rRNA from 1 species
AACGGCGAGUGAAGCGGGAAGAGCUCAAAUUUGAAAUCUUCAAGGUUUUACCUUGACGAAUUGUAGUUUAAAGAAGUGUUUUCUGUUGAAGUUUUGGUAAAAGUUCUUUGGAAUAGGACAUCAUAGAGGGUGAGAAUCCCGUAUUUGACCAUUAUUUUCAGCUGUGUGAUACACUUUCAAAGAGUCGGAUUGUUUGGGAAUGCAGUCCAAAAUGGGUGGUAAAUUUCAUCUAAAGCUAAAUAUUGGCGAGAGACCGAUAGCGAACAAGUACCGUGAGGGAAAGAUGAAAAGAACUUUGAAAAGAGAGUUAAACAGUACGUGAAAUUGUCAAAAGGGAAGCGUUUGACACCAGUGUUGUUUUCUCGAAAAUCAAUUAAAAAGAGUUGGAUUUUGUGUUGUAUUGACCUUAACAGCUUUCUUCACUCUUUUCCUGCUUUUUUUAAUGCACUUUUCGUUUAACAAGUCAACAUCAGUUUCUUUUGUUGUAAAAAGGUCAUUGGAAGGUGGCUUUCUUUUCGGAGAAAGUGUUUAUAGCCUUUGAUCCCUGCAAUCGGAGAGACUGAGGUCUGCAGCGUAGACUCUUCGGGGUUAGAUACAUUUGUGCUAAGUUAUAGCUUUUCAUAGACAACUUGUUGACUAUGUUUAGUCUUGUAGCUUACUCGCUUAUGCUAUUUUACCUAC